AUUGAACGCUGGCGGCAGGCUUAACACAUGCAAGUCGAGCGUGCGGCGGACGGGUGUGUAAUGUCUGGGAAACUGCCUGAUGGAGGGGGAUAACUUCUGGAACCGGUAGCUAAUACCGCAUACCAUCAGAUGUGCCCAGAUGUGAUUAGCUUGUAGGUGGGGUAAUGGCUCACCUAGGCGACGAUCCCUAGCUGGUCUGAGAGGUUGACCAGCAACACGGGAAUGGAGACCCGGUCCAGACUCCUACGGGAGGCAGCAGUGGGAAAUAUUGCACAAUGGGCGAAAGCCUAAUGCAGCCAUGCCGCGUGUGUGAAGAAGGCCUUCGGGUUGUAAAGCACUUUCAGCGAGGAGGCGUUAAUCAAAGAAGAAGCACCGGCUAACUCCGUGCCAGCAGCCGCGGUAAUUC
rnacentral:rRNA from 1 species